rnacentral:rRNA from 1 species
GAUGAACGCUGGCGGCGUGCUUAACACAUGCAAGUCGAACGAAGCACUUUAUUUGAUUUCCUUCGGGACUGAUUAUUUUGUGACUGAGUGGCGGACGGGUGAGUAACGCGUGGGUAACCUGCCUUGUACAGGGGGAUAACAGUUGGAAACGGCUGCUAAUACCGCAUAAGCGCACAGCAUCGCAUGAUGCAGUGUGAAGAACUCCGGUGGUAUAAGAUGGACCCGCGUUGGAUUAGCUAGUUGGUGAGGUAACGGCCCACCAAGGCGACGAUCCAUAGCCGACCUGAGAGGGUGACCGGCCACAUUGGGACUGAGACACGGCCCAAACUCCUACGGGAGGCAGCAGUGGGGAAUAUUGCACAAUGGGCGAAAGCCUGAUGCAGCGACGCCGCGUGAGCGAAGAAGUAUUUCGGUAUGUAAAGCUCUAUCAGCAGGGAAGAUAAUGACGGUACCUGACGAAGAAGCACCGGCUAAAUACGUG